rnacentral:lncRNA from 1 species
GCUGGUGCUGGGAGUAGGGCGCAAGAUGUCGGCGGAUGCAGCUCCGAGGAGGUAGGCAGUGGGAGCCGGCGUUCAGUCCGGCCCGUGCCAACAGUGGUUCCUCUCUCCCCCGUAGUUCGAGGAGACCACGCGCUGCCCCUCUGGCACGAUCGUGGAUGAACCCCCUGGCAACUGAAAUGGGAAAGGCAGCGCCCCCGACUCUGGGGACUGGACCGAAGUCCACGGUAGUGACAGCUGCCAGACCCUGAGGAGAGGACGAGAAGACCCGAGGCCUCUGCUACGAACACUGGCAGCCGAUGGAAAAUUCAGACGGAUUUGGGACAGUAUGCAGAGUUCUCCAAGCGACAGAUUAACAGAGGCUCUUGAAGAAUAACUGCGUAAUCACGUGUUCUGCUCAAAAGAAGGCCUGAAUGCCCAGUGCCUUAUUUGGCUUUCAGGACAGGGUCUUGCGGUGUCACCCAGGCUAGAGUACAGUGGUGCAAUCAUAGCUCACUGCUGCCUCAAACUCCUAGACUCAAGCAAUCCUCCUGCUUCAGCCUCCCGAGUAGCUGGGACUACAGGUAGAUGAUGGGCUCCACGGGAACAGAGCAAACGUUCGCUCCUGCUCCUACACGGUGUUUCCUCUAAACCUGAGGCUCAGCCGACUUGUCAUCACUUAAAACCCAAUUCAGAGCGGGGGGGCACUGCCAGUGAAUAGUUCAUCACCGACUCAGUUUCCCCAUGUGUAUGCUGUGGUAUUGGAUCAGCAACGAGAUAAGAAGAUCUCUCCCAUUUCCAAGCGUCUAUGAUGAUUCUGAGGCACAAGGUCACAUUUGACAGUACUAGGAAACCCAGGAAACAAGAAGCAAAGAUGACAAAGGCUGUGUCUGCCUGGGCAGACGAUCUAUUUGGACAAGAUAAUAGACCCAGGCAUGGACAUGCUCUCCAAGAAAGAUGCCCUGACAGCUGCUCACACUGAAGCUGAAUCGAACAUUCCAAUCCUUAGAGGUUCCAGCGAAGAUCUUGAAGUCUCCCUGAGCCAUUGACACAAUGGCCAUGCCAUCCCAGUGAUAAAACACAAAUUGUGGCCUUGUUUUGGACAGAAAUAAAGAGCCCAGUUUGUUAGUGAUUUACUGAUAA